GAACUCCCUGAUUUGCGAAGCAGCUUGCUGGACUGUAACUGACGCUGAUGCUCGAAAGUGUGGGUAUCAAACAGGAUUAGAUACCCUGGUAGUCCACACAGUAAACGAUGAAUACUCGCUGUUUGCGAUAUACAGUAAGCGGCCAAGCGAAAGCGUUAAGUAUUCCACCUGGGGAGUACGCCGGCAACGGUGAAACUCAAAGGAAUUGACGGGGGCCCGCACAAGCGGAGGAACAUGUGGUUUAAUUCGAUGAUACGCGAGGAACCUUACCCGGGCUUGAAUUGCAACUGAAUGAUGUGGAGACAUGUCAGCCGCAAGGCAGUUGUGAAGGUGCUGCAUGGUUGUCGUCAGCUCGUGCCGUGAGGUGUCGGCUUAAGUGCCAUAACGAGCGCAACCCUUAUCGAUAGUUACCCUCCAGGUGAUGCUGGGGACUCUGUCGAGACUGCCGUCGUAAGAUGUGAGGAAGGUGGGGAUGACGUCAAAUCAGCACGGCCCUUACGUCCGGGGCUACACACGUGUUACAAUGGGGGGUACAGAAGGCAGCUACACGGCGACGUGAUGCUAAUCCCUAAAGCCUCUCUCAGUUCGGAUUGGAGUCUGCAACCCGACUCCAUGAAGCUGGAUUCGCUAGUAAUCGCGCAUCAGCCACG
rnacentral:rRNA from 1 species